CCUACGGGUGGCAGCAGUGGGGAAUAUUGGACAAUGGGGGGAACCCUGAUCCAGCCAUGCCGCGUGUGUGAAGAAGGCCCUCGGGUUGUAAAGCACUUUCAGUGAGGAAGAACGCCUGGUGGUUAAUACCCAUCAGGAAAGACAUCACUCACAGAAGAAGCACCGGCUAACUCCGUGCCAGCAGCCGCGGUAAUACGGAGGGUGCGGGCGUUAAUCGGAAUUACUGGGCGUAAAGCGCGCGUAGGUGGCUUGAUAAGCCGGUUGUGAAAGCCCCGGGCUCAACCUGGGAACGGCAUCCGGAACUGUCAAGCUAGAGUGCAGGAGAGGAAGGUAGAAUUCCCGGUGUAGCGGUGAAAUGCGUAGAGAUCGGGAGGAAUACCAGUGGCGAAGGCGGCCUUCUGGACUGACACUGACACUGAGGUGCGAAAGCGUGGGUAGCAAACAGGAUUAGAUACCCUUGUAGUC
rnacentral:rRNA from 1 species